UACAGAGGGUGCGAGCGUUAAUCGGAAUUACUGGGCGUAAAGCGCACGUAGGCGGCUUGGUAUGUCGGGUGUGAAAUCCCCGGGCUCAACCUGGGAACUGCAUCCGAAACUGCCUUGCUCGAGUAUGGGAGAGGGAAGUGGAAUUUCCGGUGUAGCGGUGAAAUGCGUAGAUAUCGGAAGGAACAUCAGUGGCGAAGGCGACUUCCUGGACCAAUACUGACGCUCAGGUGCGAAAGCUAGGGGAGCAAACGGG
rnacentral:rRNA from 1 species